rnacentral:rRNA from 1 species
CCUACGGGCGGCUGCAGUGAGGAAUAUUGGUCAAUGGCCGGAAGGCUGAACCAGCCAAGCCGCGUGAAGGACGAAGGUGCCAAGCAUUGUAAACUUCUUUUGUCAAGGGACAAAAUCAGGCUCGAGAGCCUGACCGAGGGUACUUGAAGAAAAAGCAUCGGCUAACUCCGUGCCAGCAGCCGCGGUAAUACGGAGGAUGCGAGCGUUAUCCGGAUUUCUUGGGUUUAAAGGGUGCGUAGGCGGGCUGUUAAGUCAGCGGUAACAGCCCGGGGCUCAACCCCGGCGGGCCGUUGAACCUGGCGGUCUGGAGAGGUCGAGAGGUAUGGGGAAUGCGCGGUGGAGCGGUG